GAUGAACGCUGGCGGCGUGCCUAAUACAUGCAAGUCGAGCGAACGGACGAGAAGCUUGCUUUUCUGAUGUUAGCGGCGGACGGGUGAGUAACACGUGGAUAACCUACCUAUAAGACUGGGAUAACUUCGGGAAACCGGAGCUAAUACCGGAUAAUACUUUGAACCGCAUGGUUCAAAAGUGAAGGACGGUCUUGCUGUCACUUAUAGAUGGAUCCGCGCUGCAUUAGCUAGUUGGUAAGGUAACGGCUUACCAAGGCAACGAUGCAUAGCCGACCUGAGAGGGUGAUCGGCCACACUGGAACUGAGACACGGUCCAGACUCCUACGGGAGGCAGCAGUAGGGAAUCUUCCGCAAUGGGCGAAAGCCUGACGGAGCAACGCCGCGUGAGUGAUGAAGGUCUUCGGAUCGUAAAACUCUGUUAUUAGGGAAGAACAUAUGUGUAAGUAACUGUGCACAUCUUGACGGUACCUAAUCAGAAAGCCACGGCUAACUACGUG
rnacentral:rRNA from 1 species